rnacentral:tRNA from 1 species
GCCUGGGGGGCUCAGUCGGUUGAGCAUCUGACUUCGGCUCAGGUUGUGAUCUCACGGUCUGUGAGUUCGAGCCCCGCGUCGGGCU